UAAGGAAUAUUGGACAAUGGAGGCAACUCUGAUCCAGCCAUGCCGCGUGAAGGAAUAAGGCCCUAUGGGUUGUAAACUUCUUUUAGACGGGACAAAACCCCUUUACGUGUAAAGGGUUGAUGGUACUGUCAGAAUAAGCAUCGGCUAACUUCGUGCCAGCAGCCGCGGUAAUACGAAGGAUGCAAGAGUUAUCCGGAAUUAUUGGGUUUAAAGGGUGCGUAGGCGGACUAAUAAGUCAGUGGUGAAAGCCUGCAGCUUAACUGCCGAAUUGCCAAUGAUGCUGUUAGUGUUGAGUACAGUUUAGGUAGGCGGAAUUUGCCAUGUAGCGGUGGAAUGCUUAGAUAUGACACAGAACACCGAUUGCGAAGGCAGCUUGCUAAGCUGUAACUGACGCUGAGGGACGAAAGCGUGGGGAGCAAACA
rnacentral:rRNA from 1 species